rnacentral:rRNA from 1 species
UGGGGAAUUUUGGACAAUGGGGGAAACCCUGAUCCAGCCAUCCCGCGUGUGCGAUGAAGGCCUUCGGGUUGUAAAGCACUUUUGGCAGGAAAGAAACGUCGCGGGUUAAUACCCCGCGAAACUGACGGUACCUGCAGAAUAAGCACCGGCUAACUACGUGCCAGCAGCCGCGGUAAUACGUAGGGUGCAAGCGUUAAUCGGAAUUACUGGGCGUAAAGCGUGCGCAGGCGGUUCGGAAAGAGAGAUGUGAAAUCCCAGAGCUUAACUUUGGAACUGCAUUUUUAACUACCGGGCUAGAGUGUGUCAGAGGGAGGUGGAAUUCCGCGUGUAGCAGUGAAAUGCGUAGAUAUGCGGAGGAACACCGAUGGCGAAGGCAGCCUCCUGGGAUAACACUGACGCUCAUGCACGAAAGCGUGGGGAGCAAACAGGAUUAGAUACCCUGGUAGUCCACGCCCUAAACGAUGUCAACUAGCUGUUGGGGGCCUUCGGGCCUUGGUAGCGCAGCUAACGCGUGAAGUUGACCGCCUGGGGGAGUACGGUCGCAAGAUUAAAACUCAAAUGAAUUGACGGGGUCAUAGCUGUUUCCUG